rnacentral:rRNA from 1 species
UACGAAGGGGGCUAGCGUUGUUCGGAUUUACUGGGCGUAAAGCGCACGUAGGCGGAUCGUUAAGUCGGGGGGUGAAAUCCUGGAGCUCAACUCCAGAACUGCCUUCGAUACUGGCGAUCUUGAGUCCGGAAGAGGUGAGUGGAACUCCUAGUGUAGAGGUGGAAUUCGUAGAUAUUAGGAAGAACACCAGUGGCGAAAGGCGGCUCACUGGUCCGGUACU